AGGACGAACGCUGGCGGCGUGCUUAACACAUGCAAGUCGAACGGAAAGGCCCGCUUGCGGGUACUCGAGUGGCGAACGGGUGAGUAACACGUGGGCAACCUGCCCUCAGCUCUGGGAUAACUCCGGGAAACCGGUGCUAAUACUGGAUAUCGACUUCUGCCUCGCAUGGGGUGUUGUUGAAAGUUUUUCGGCUGGGGAUGGGCCCGCGGCCUAUCAGCUUGUUGGUGGGGUGAUGGCCUACCAAGGCGACGACGGGUAGCCGGCCUGAGAGGGCGACCGGCCACACUGGGACUGAGACACGGCCCAGACUCCUACGGGAGGCAGCAGUGGGGAAUAUUGCGCAAUGGGCGGAAGCCUGACGCAGCGACGCCGCGUGAGGGAUGACGGCCUUCGGGUUGUAAACCUCUUUCAGCUCUGACGAAGCGAGAGUGACGGUAGGAGCAGAGAAGCACCGGCCAACUACGUGCCAGCAGCCGC
rnacentral:rRNA from 1 species